rnacentral:rRNA from 1 species
UACGGAGGGAGCUAGCGUUAUUCGGAAUUACUGGGCGUAAAGCGCACGUAGGCGGCUUUGUAAGUAAGAGGUGAAAGCCCAGAGCUCAACUCUGGAAUUGCCUUUUAGACUGCAUCGCUUGAAUCAUGGAGAGGUCAGUGGAAUUCCGAGUGUAGAGGUGAAAUUCGUAGAUAUCGGGAGGAACACCAGUGGCGAAGGCGGAGACCUGGGCCAAUACUGACGCUGAGGUGCGAAAGCGUGGGGAGCAAACAGG